rfam:Triticum aestivum genome assembly, contig: Triticum_aestivum_CS42_TGACv1_scaffold_404366_5BL
AUUCUACUCCCUCCGUUACACAAUACAUGCCUUCUAUUUGUCAAAAUAUAUAUGUAUCUAGACAUGUUUUUGUAUAUAGGCACAUCCAUUUUUGGACAAAUGGAAGUCAAGUAUUUUGGAACGUAGGGAGUACACA